UUACCUGGGAUUGCUGAACUAAAGAAGAAGAGCACAAAACCUAAGAGACCGUCUAUCAAAUCCCUUUUUGAAGAUGAGUCAGCUGCUGCCAAUCAACCUGUGCAAGGGAGCUUCCUCGGCCUCUUGCCUCCUAAAAUAGAUGAAGCUUCUGAGCUACCUAGUAGAUCCAAAUGAGCCAUACUAGUCUCUGUAUGACAUCAGAAGGUCACAGAUGUUCAAUUAAAGUUCAGCUGAAGAGUAUUAAGUUUUCUAGUGAGUAGGGCUUUUUGGUUCGCUGAUUCCUGCAGAUAUAUUUUCCGGAAUGAAAAUUUCAGGGGAAAAGACUCCAAGGG
rnacentral:misc_RNA from 1 species